rnacentral:lncRNA from 1 species
AUAUGUGUGCCGAUCGAGUCGCUCGUAUGUCUGAUCGGAUCCUGCUAGAUGGCCCAAUUUUAUCGAGCCCUCUACCAUCUAUCAGAGUACUCCUCGCUGCUUUUCUGGUCACAGAGGGCCUGUUAUAUGUCUGUCCAUAUCCAGUGACCCAUGAAGGACCUCUAUCUGAUGGUGACUAGAAACUGGAGUGUUGGAUGGUGGACUGCC